rnacentral:rRNA from 1 species
CAUCCUCCAAGGCUAAAUACUCCUGACUGACCGAUAGUGAACCAGUACCGUGAGGGAAAGGCGAAAAGAACCCCGGCGAGGGGAGUGAAAAAGAACCUGAAACCGUGUACGUACAAGCAGUGGGAGCCCCACCACUAAGCCAGUGGUGGAUUCCACAUACGCAUCCUUUGCUGAGGAUACGGUUAACGGAGCGAAAGCGACGUUCAACCUCAAAAGAAGCAGAGGGGGCUUAGUGGUGGGGUGACUGCGUACCUUUUGUAUAAUGGGUCAGCGACUUAUAUUCUGUAGCAAGGUUAACCGAAUAGGGGAGCCGGAGGGAAACCGAGUCUUAAUUGGGCGUUAAGUUGCAGGGUAUAGACCCGAAACCCGGUGAUCUAGCCAUGGGCAGGUUGAAGGUUGGGUAACACUAACUGGAGGACCGAACCGACUAAUGUUGAAAAAUUAGCGGAUGACCUGUGGCUGGGGGUGAAAGGCCAAUCAAACCGGGAGAUAGCUGGUUCUCCCCGAAAGCUAUUUAGGUAGCGCCUCGUGAAUUCAUCUCCGGGGGUAGAGCACUGUUUCGGCUAGGGGGCCAUCCCGGCUUACCAACCCGAUGCAAACUGCGAAUACCGGAGAAUGUUAUCACGGGAGACACACGGCGGGUGCUAACGUCCGUCGUGAAGAGGGAAACAACCCAGACCGCCAGCUAAGGUCCCAAAGUCAUGGUUAAGUGGGAAACGAUGUGGGAAGGCCCAGACAGCCAGGAUGUUGGCUUAGAAGCAGCCAUCAUUUAAAGAAAGCGUAAUAGCUCACUGGUCGAGUCGGCCUGCGCGGAAGAUGUAACGGGGCUAAACCAUGCACCGAAGCUGCGGCAGCGAACGUAUCACCCAAGACAACUUUACGGAGUUGACGAUUGACGGAGCGAAGCGACGUCAAAGCGUUCAUUAAAGUCGAGUUGGCUUAGGGAUACGUUCGUUGGGUAGGGGAGCGUUCUGUAAGCCUGUGAAGGUGGCCUGUGAGGGUUGCUGGAGGUAUCAGAAGUGCGAAUGCUGACAUAAGUAACGAUAAAGCGGGUGAAAAGCCCGCUCGCCGGAAGACCAAGGGUUCCUGUCCAACGUUAAUCGGGGCAGGGUGAGUCGACCCCUAAGGC